GGGGGUGAAGACAAGCACAAGACAGGUGAAACAGAUCAGGGUGUGACAUAAACGGCAUAACAAAAGCAGGGAGCAUAUAAAUGCUCACAUAAGAUUCAAGCUUCUGGGAAAAAGCCAUUUUGAUCAUGUAAUGGACGAAGGUCUGCGCAUUCAACUGCGAAGCACAAUGAGAAAGUAAGAAGAAACAGGGAAGUUCUGAAGCGGUUUAUUGACACCACUGCAUGCAAGAAUGGGCUUUUAAAGGACACGACGAUGAGAGGGGAAGCUCUUCACAUAAGGGCAGCUACAAGGAGCUUGCAGAGAGGUGAUGACCCCUCCACUCCACCAUUGUCAACUCUCUCCUGACAUGAACUGAAGCCACGUCUCGGCUCGCUCGUCUACUGGCACAUUGAAUGUUUUCUCUCCAAGCACUUCAAAUCCUGUCCUGCCCUCAGUGAAAGAGUUAUGCUCUUCUCUAACACCAUCCAUCCAUCCAUGAUGAGCCUGGCCUGCAUGUUCGAUUCCAGGCUGAAUCACAACCGGCAGUGAUUGGGAGUACCAUAGGGCGGCGC